ensembl:lncRNA
CGAGGCUAAAAAGUGGUUCGAGAGAGCUGCAAAGCCACCUGAGCGAAGUAGGCUAUGGAUACGUUCAUUUAGUCAAGUGAAAGUCCGCUGCAGUCUCGUCAACAAAGCUCUAUAAAUCGUUGCUAAUAUUACAAUAGGUGCUGAUCUCUGUACAUAGACCUAUACAGUCCAUAAUAUCAAUAAAUAGUAAAACUCAUAAGACGACCGUAUUUUGAACCAACCGACCACCGCGAAAUAAAUAGUUUACAUUGAUGUCAGGAGGCUCUUUUCCCAAGUGCUAUCCUCGCCUUCAAGAUGGAUGGAAAGGCCAUUGAAGUUCUCGGCGUCCCUGGCAGCCUUCUCGCCCCGGACAGGAUGGUUGACAAGCUCACAAUACACUUCCUGAGACCACGCAAUGGCGGCGGAGAGGUUCUGACAGUGAUGUUCCCCACCAGCAUCUCGGGCCGGGCCGUUGUCGUGUUUGAGAAGCCUGAAGUGGCUGACUCUGUCUUGUGGCAGAGCCAUGAUUUGACAGUGGAAGGACAACGCUUUCCUCUUGAAGUCAGGAGAAUGAACAGA